GAGUCAACGCGAGCCAGAUUCGAUCAACUGAUGAAACACGAAGAUCCGGAAUACCAUAGUUGCACGCUAGCUAAUGUACGUUUUUGGAUCGACACUACGGAAUCACGCUACGAUAGCUUUGCACAGGAAUGUCAAGGUUGCAUUUUUAAGACUAUGGAACGGUUGGAAUAGGAGAACCCACGGGAUUUCGAGUACUUAGUGGGCGUGCAUUGUUUAGAAGUCUUAGCUUAUUUGCUUCCGCUGUGCAAUGAAGAUACCGGUCCAGUCACGCCAGCUCUGAUAUUUCGGGGUGUGACAUUCUACUUUUGCUCAGGGGGUUCAACGUUAUGUAAGACGACCUUUAAUGGUUGCAGUACCGGAAACAACAAGUCCAGCUCUCCUCGAGUCUAUGGCUAAUUUGGUUCCACUAUUCUUAGCGUGGGGCCGUAUCCAUGGGGUAAUGCAUACACCCACAUCAACCUCUUUGCACUUUCUACAAGGUAUUUCUGCUCACCUAUUUUUCCUUCAUUUUUAUGUGUAUCCGCUUGAUGGUUUCACAUUGGUCUUGCAUUAUUUUUGGUUGGCCAAACCUACUUCUUUGGAGUUCCAAUUGGUAACUACUGUAGCUACUCGUGCAAUGAGAAAUUCUUUUAUAUUGGAUCCAUUAACACUUUGGGGCAGGGAGUUAAUUCUGCAGAAACUUGAUAAUGUUGUGGAUGACCUUCAUACACUUGCUACUCAUUAUUUCUCCACACUCCCAAACCUAAUAGUUAGCAUUUCAGUUUGGUUUUGAUCAUCUUCUUUGGUUCAUACAUGGAUUGGAAAUUCUUCUCAAGCUGGAAACAAGAUUAAGAAAUUCUGAAGGGAAAGCACCUGGGUCUACUCAUUCAUUUUGGUUAUCAGACGUUCCCUUUCUUGGUGGCCUCUUUCAUCCAAAGUUAGUUAAAUGGGGCUGGUACUUCUUUCAUGAUGCUCAAAAGCUACUAUUUCUUUCUUUGUUGCUGGUCUUGGUGGUGCUUAUUUUGGAAGAAACUUCGGUACAGUGUGUGAUAUGGGUUGGGUAAUUACUGCACAAAAGGUUCUAAUGUCUCUGUGGCAUAAGUGGCAAACUAAAACAGCUUACAGCACAAAGUUUUUUUAUAUUUCCAUGGAAUGCAAUUGUGUUCCAGAUGGUGGAUUUUAAUACGUUCAUGAAUCCUCUUAUUUUCUCUCUUAGUAAUAUCGCAACUACGUUGGUUGUGUUUUUUGUUGGGCUUGCUGGUGAUCAAAAUAAGAAACAUACAUUGGACAUUUGAAGGUUUGUAUAAAUUCAAGUCAGAGUUGUAGAUAUGGAAUCUUAGCACCAGUCAAGGCAACAAAUGUCUAUGUUCAGCAGCCAUCAGCAAUGGAGACCGUAAAGAUUCGAGUUGAAGAAUUCACACAAUUGAAAUCCAGCCUAAGCCUAGUACUUAAUGAUGGCUGGAACAAAGCCUUUGCUAAUGACAACAACCGGUAUGAACCGUCUGCUGCUACUAAACACGUUCCACUUGUGCCUUUGGUUCUUGCACUCACAUCCUUUGAGGCUCUCUAUGGACGUAAACCACCUAAUAUAGCUUGCUACACCCAUACUACUAUGACAGUUUUCAUCUCAUGCUCGUUCGUGACACCAAUAUUGGAACAAUGGGAUUCCUUCCCGACCAAAGUAAUUCAUUGGGACGACACUACCCCUUUGCUUAAACCGUUUACACUCUCCCACCUUGAGGACAAGGUGGCCUUGAAAGGGGGAAGUAAACCCCAUUAAACAGCCCAACUCAUGAGGCCCAACAAGUUGAGCCCACCUGUGUGAAUGGUGAAGGAGUAAUCGCAGAAUAUAUACGUCAGGAUAGAUAGAGAUUAGGCAUGACGAAUAUUGUUAAAAGUGCAGUGAUUUCUUCUUCUCACCUCCCUAUCUGAAUAUAUGGUUUCCCAUCCCCCUUCAUUAUCAAUGGUUUCUACUUUGCUUCUAGUUGUAACCAUUCCAUGAAAUCGAUAAAAAUAUAGUUGAUUAAACUUUUAAUUGAUUGCUGCUCUGGUUGUGGUUAUAACGAAUCACUUCAUAGAACCACCAUCGCCGACUGCCGCAGUGCACAUGGUGGAAUACGGCUGAAACGAAACGUAACAGUGUUUAUAAGUAGUAGUAGUGGUGAGAACAAAGAAGAUGAUGAUGUAUAUUUAUAGGUUUUCUAUAGUAGAAUCUGGGGAUAUUAACAUUCCUAAUUUUAAAUACUUAGGCCAAACAAUUGAAAAGAUUAUCU
rnacentral:lncRNA from 1 species